rfam:Megasphaera genomosp. type_1 str. 28L contig00042, whole genome shotgun sequence.
GGGGAUGUAAAGGUUUCGACGUGGAUGGUUGUAUCAUAAGCAGCGAGUCGGGGUUUCAUCUGCCCGUAAAUCGGUGAACCUUUAAAUUAAACGCAAAAGAAGAAAAUUUUGCUUUAGCUGCCUAAGGGCGGCUAACGUCUCUUAGAGCGGUUCCUGCCCGUUCUAUGCAGGCGACACGUUGCAGGAUACUGUGCCGUUUUUGUCUGGCAACGGUACAGGAAAUAUACAGACCGGAGUCGUCCAGUUUGUUCGUGUACGACCGCGACUUGAGAUAACAAACACGAACUGCGCUCGGAGAAGCUUAUGGGGCGGCAUGUACGGACAGGAGUUCGACUCUCCUCAUCUCCACCA